rnacentral:rRNA from 1 species
CCCAGCGGUAAUAGCAGAAUAAAAGCACUAGUUCUCAAUAGACCACUGAAGUUAAGCAACGUUGCACGUGAUUAAUAUCCGGAUGGGGGACCAUAUGGGCCAUCGCGUGCUGAUGACU